UACGUAGGGUCCGAGCGUUAAUCGGAAUUACUGGGCGUAAAGCGUGCGCAGGCGGUUUUGUAAGCCAGCUGUGAAAUCCCCGGGCUCAACCUGGGAACUGCAUUUGGGACUGCAAGGCUUGAGUACGGCAGAGGGGGGUAGAAUUCCUGGUGUAGCAGUGAAAUGCGUAGAUAUCAGGAGGAAUACCGAUGGCGAAGGCAGCCCCCUGGGUCGAUACUGACGCUCAUGCACGAAAGCGUGGGGAGCAAACAGG
rnacentral:rRNA from 1 species